CGCGGGCGGCGCCGUCCGGGAGGUCGUGGAGCGCCGAGACGGAACCGCCAUCGUCGUCUUCCGGGACCCCCACGUGGUGCCGCGGGUGCUGCGGAGAACCCAUCGGCUGCAGGACGUGGAGCUGCGCGUGGCGCCCUAUUACCCGGCCCUGGACCCAAACGGAACCGCUCCGGUACCGCACGGGGACACACGCACGGAGCCGGCACCGCCUGCUCACCGAUACCUUGGUACCGAACCGCGGGGUGUGGAUCCGGUACCGGGGGGUGAUAGAGAUAUGGGUCUGACACCGGGGGGUGUGGAUUUGGUACCGGGGGGUGUGGAUUUGGUACCGGGUGGUGUGGAUUUGGUACCGGGGGGUGUGGAUUUGGUACCGGGGGGUGUGGAUUUG
ensembl:lncRNA